UCCUAAAUAGUCCUAUGAAAGGACUGUGUCCUAUGAAAGACAGAGUAUACAGGGCAAAUUUAAAAGUCUGCUUAAGGAAAAGAAUGGAGAAAGAAGAGCAAAAGUGACAAUGACAAAGAAAAAGGGAUGACCUGAGAUUGGUGAUAGAUUAACAGGUUUGUUAAUAAAGGAACAUAAAACUCUUGCACGACCCAGAGGAUUACACUCCAGAAGAAAGAGAUCAGAGGUAAAAGUGGGAAGCGGUUUUAAAAUAAGGAAUAAUUUGUUUGGUAAGAAGGAGGGAGAGUGGAGAAGUGGGGAGAAGUCAGAGAGGUUGAAAUUAUUUUUCAUGAAAUAUAGCACACAUAUAAAAAGCAUGUAAAACAAUGUGUAUUGUUUAAUGAACAAAAUUAAAAUGAACAGUAGUAUCAAGGCAAGAAAUAGAAUAUUACCAAUAC
rnacentral:lncRNA from 1 species